UACGGAGGGUGCAAGCGUUAAUCGGAAUUACUGGGCGUAAAGCGUGCGCAGGCGGUUUGUUAAGUCUGCUGUGAAAUCCCCGAGCUCAACUUGGGAAUUGCAGUGGAUACUGGCAAGCUGGAGUACGGUAGAGGAAGGUGGAAUUCCCGGUGUAGCAGUGAAAUGCGCAGAUAUCAGGAGGAACACCGAUGGCGAAGGCAGCUCGCUGGAACGUAACUGACGCUGAGACGCGAAAGCGUGGGGAGCAAACAGG
rnacentral:rRNA from 1 species